rnacentral:rRNA from 2 species
AGGUGCGAUCAUACCAGCACUAAUGCACCGGAUCCCAUCAGAACUCCGCAGUGAAGCAUGCUUGGGCGAGAGUAUUACUAGGAUGGGUGACCUCCUUGGUAGUCCUCGUGUUGCACCUC